GGAAAAAAAUGCUUCUGUACCUGCACUCGAGUACAACCCCCUUACUUAUAUGUUUGUGUACAUGGCAGCCAAUCACUAUUUUGCAUAUGAGCCAGAGAAGUCCUACUCAACACAGGAACUUUGCCAUCUUCUAGGAACUGUAAUUGUGAAGAAGGCAUGGGUGCAAUCUAUAUUGGGUGGGUCCUACUAUCAUAGGUAUGGUAAAUACUAGAAAAUUUUUUAUUACUUUCUAUACGAAAGUCACAUGUGCACACAGUGUGUAAACAAAACACAGUAUGAUGUUGAAGUUAUUGAUGCUGACCCUGUGAAAGUGGAGGAAA